AAGUCGUAACAAGGUUUCCGUAGGUGAACCUGCGGAAGGAUCAUUAACACGUAUCCAAACGUUAAAACCCCCCGCCGUGAACCUUCAUCCUGCUCUUGUAACCCGCGUAGUUCGCAAUCGCUGAUAAAUCAUAGCCCGGAAAGUUGUAGUGAUUCAGAGACCUCUGGCUACGUGCGAACAUUGGAACAGUUACACAUUGGAACAGUUACACUCGGGCAGGAGCUUUGCCAAAGGGUCCCCUUGCCCCCUAAUAACCCCACAGUUUAAUGUGAAGCUCAAUGUAAUACAUUGGGUAAAAAAACCGAACAACUGUUAACAAUGGAUAUCUUGGUUCUC
rnacentral:misc_RNA from 1 species